rnacentral:misc_RNA from 1 species
AAGUCGUAACAAGGUUUCCGUAGGUGAACCUGCGGAAGGAUCAUUACCAAAAACGUAGCUGCUCUGGUUUACGCCAGUAGCACGCUUCAACCCUUUGUGAACCAAACCAACCUUACGCUUCGGCAGCUGGCUCUGAGCAGAAAUGCUUUGGCUGUGAGCCUGCCGAUGGCACCAAUUUAAACCUGUCGUCAAAUAUUGUCUGAACAAACCAUUUUCGAAUGAAAAUUAAAACUUUCAACAACGGAUCUCUUGGUUCUC